rnacentral:rRNA from 1 species
ACGAACGCUGGCGGCGUGCUUAACACAUGCAAGUCGAACGGAAAGGCCCUGCUUUUGUGGGGUGCUCGAGUGGCGAACGGGUGAGUAACACGUGCGUAACCUGCCCUUGACUUUGGGAUAACUUCAGGAAACUGGGGCUAAUACCGGAUAGGAGCUCCUGCUGCAUGGUGGGGGUUGGAAAGUUUCGGCGGUUGGGGGUGGACUCGCGGCUUAUCAGCUUGUUGGUGGGGUAGUGGCUUACCAAGGCUUUGACGGGUAGCCGGCCUGAGAGGGUGACCGGCCACAUUGGGACUGAGAUACGGCCCAGACUCCUACGGGAGGCAGCAGUGGGGAAUAUUGCACAAUGGGCGGAAGCCUGAUGCAGCAACGCCGCGUGCGGGAUGACGGCCUGCGGGCUGUAAACCGCUUUCGCCUGUGACGAAGCGUGAGUGACGGUAAUGGGUAAAGAAGCACCGGCUAACUACGUG